rnacentral:rRNA from 1 species
UACGUAGGUGGCGAGCGUUGUCCGGAAUUACUGGGUGUAAAGCGCGUGUAGGCGGGAGGCCAAGUCUGCGGUGAAAUCGCUCGGCUCAACUGGGCGGGGUCCGUGGAAACUGGUCACCUGGAGGACGGUAGAGGCGAGUGGAAUUCCCGGUGUAGUGGUGAAAUGCGUAGAGAUCGGGAGGAACACCAGUGGCGAAGGCGACUACCUGGCCUGUUCUUGACGCUGAGGCGCGAAAGCUAGGGGAGCAAACGGGG